rnacentral:rRNA from 1 species
CGGCGGACGGGUGAGUAACGCGUGGGUAACCUGCCUCGUACAGGGGGAUAACAGUUGGAAACGGCUGCUAAUACCGCAUAAGCGCACAGUACCGCAUGGUACCGUGUGAAAAACUCCGGUGGUAUGAGAUGGACCCGCGUCUGAUUAGCUAGUUGGUGGGGUAACGGCCUACCAAGGCGACGAUCAGUAGCCGACCUGAGAGGGUGAACGGCCACAUUGGGACUGAGACACGGCCCAA